AUGGACGUAGCGCAGGAAGCGCCGAACAGAAAAGGGACACGACAAGGAUCACUGCCAAGGUUGGCGGGAUGAUAAGGAUUUCAGGGAAACAAGUCUGCAAACCCCGCUUCGGCGGGGUUU
rnacentral:sRNA from 1 species